CCAGACUCCUACGGGAGGCAGCAGUGGGGAAUAUUGGACAAUGGGGGGAACCCUGAUCCAGCGACGCCGCGUGAGUGAAGAAGUAUUUCGGUAUGUAAAGCUCUAUCAGCAGGGAAGAAAGAAAUGACGGUACCUGACUAAGAAGCCCCGGCUAACUACGUGCCAGCAGCCGCGGUAAUACGUAGGGGGCAAGCGUUAUCCGGAUUUACUGGGUGUAAAGGGAGCGCAGGCGGCACGGCAAGCCUGAUGUGAAAGCCCGCGGCCCAACCGCGGGACUGCAUUGGGAACUACCGGGCUGGAGUGCCGGAGAGGUAGGCGGAAUUCCUAGUGUAGCGGUGAAAUGCGUAGAUAUCAGGAGGAACACCGGUGGCGAAGGCGGCCUGCUGGACUGCAACUGACGUUGAGGCCCGAAAGCGUGGGGAGCAAACAGGAUUAGAUACCCGAGUAUC
rnacentral:rRNA from 1 species